rnacentral:lncRNA from 1 species
UUAGAUUAGAUCGAUCCCGAUCGAAAUGAUUUGAUCCCAUCAUUGACAGCGCAGGCAAGCCGUCAGUGCGUGAUCGGUCGACGUGCCUCUGCUCUUCUCUGAUCAGAACAUUCCCUCUGCAAAACUCAAGCUGAGGAAUCCGUUUAGGGAUCAGUAAACAACUCCGGCCGCGAUUAAUUAACUCCCCGAUUAAGAUAUCCACAGUGCUCGAUCGUCAGUCAGAUCUGAGAGCAUCAAUCACGUGGCCAACGCAUCGAUCCAUGCAUCCAUCGCCAUAGCCACCGCCAAGUUAUUACCUGCUGGCUGCUACAGUGUCAGCACAGUACGUAGCACUUGCUAUGCUCUCGCUGCAUGCAUGUCUGCAGUAACAAAAUUACAAAGUGGAGUAACAGGUAGCAGCAGCAGCAGUAGCUAAGCUAGGUAAGCCGGGAUGGAAGCCAGGGCACGUUGAGGAUUUGGGCAGCGUUGCCUUUUCGGUUGGAUUAUGGAACAUGGAUCUGUUUUUUAGGGAGAAGCAUGUGAGUUUGGGGCUUUCGGGGUGAGUUGUCGCCUUCAUGGCCAUGGGUGCCGGCACGUGAGGCACCGGGAAUUGAAGGCCUGGCCGGCCCUAUCAUUCUACAUAGAUUUACACUUGGCCUCCCAUGGAUGCAUGGUAUGGUAGUAGUAUUAGCACAGAUAGACCCACGAGACAAUCGAUCAGGUCCUGGAUCAGUUAUUGUAUUAGGGUAAAAAGAUCCAAUAAACAAUUAGACUAGCAGAACUUUAUCUUGUGAGCACUGGAGAAGUGUUUGGCAGAAGCUGAAGCCAUCUGCUGGGGCGUCAGGCCAUCGUCGCCGCCACCAGCGGCCGAUCCGUCGUCGUCACCGUCGCCGCUGAAACCCGUGCAGAAACGCGCCAACAAGGACGCCAACGCCGCUGGCCAGAAGAUGUUGGGCGACCCGUGCUCCAUCGCCGCCUCCGAUUUUUAUCUGAACUAGCAGCUGAAUUUUAUCUGGCCAGCUGAUCGAUUCCGGAUUCUUGACUACACUCGCUAAUUACUGGGAGUAUUCCAGCUUGCUCCUUAUAUAGCUGCACAACGGAGAAGAUACAAUGUGUCAGAUUUCCGAUGGUCUAGCUUGGCUGCUUGGUGACUACUCUCUCUGGUCAAGGUAAAACAAGCAGAGAAGUAUAUGAGUGAACAAUUUGGCACCGCAAAGUUUGUAGUGCAAAGCGCAGUGCAGCUUCCGAUGUAACAUCUCUCUGAGUCAUCAAGGUAAGUCAUAGCAUUUGACGUCUGGAAUACUGGAUAGCGACCCGAUAGAUGUUUUGCUGAUACUUG